rnacentral:rRNA from 1 species
GACGAACGCUGGCGGCGUGCCUAAUACAUGCAAGUCGAGCGAAGUUUUUCUGGUGCUUGCACUAGAAAAACUUAGCGGCGAACGGGUGAGUAACACGUAAAGAACCUGCCUCAUAGACUGGGACAACUAUUGGAAACGAUAGCUAAUACCGGAUAACAGUAUUUCUCGCAUGAGAGAUAUUUAAAAGUUGGUUAUGCUAACACUAUGAGAUGGCUUUGCGGUGCAUUAGCUAGUUGGUGGGGUAAAGGCCCACCAAGGCGACGAUGCAUAGCCGACCUGAGAGGGGGAUAGGCCACACUGGGACUGAGACACGGCCCAGACUCCUACGGGAGGCAGCAGUAGGGAAUCUUCCGCAAUGGGCGAAAGCCUGACGGAGCAACGCCGCGUGAGUGAAGAAGGAUUUCGGUUCGUAAAGCUCUGUUGUUAGGGAAGAAUGGAUAUGUAGUAACUAUACAUGUAAGAGACGGUACCUAACCAGAAAGCAACGGCUAACUACGUG